UACGAAGGGGGCUAGCGUUGUUCGGAAUCACUGGGCGUAAAGGGCGCGUAGGCGGCUUUUCAAGUCGGGGGUGAAAGCCUGUGGCUCAACCACAGAAUUGCCUUCGAUACUGUUAGGCUUGAGACCGGAAGAGGUGAGUGGAACUGCGAGUGUAGCGGUGAAAUUCGUAGAUAUUCGCAAGAACACCAGUGGCGAAGGCGGCUCACUGGUCCGGUUCUGACGCUGAGGCGCGAAAGCGUGGGGAGCAAACAGG
rnacentral:rRNA from 1 species